rnacentral:lncRNA from 10 species
AUUUAAGCACAGACGUUUGAUACUCCACCGCUCUCUUCCCCAGCCUUGGUGAUCAUGGCAGGUUGCAUUGAUAUGGAAAUGUGAUAUGACUGAAGCAGGCUGGAAUUCCAAGCUGAAACAGAACACCACUUCCCUACAGAGUUAUCUGGGACCUCCAACAAAUUUUAUACAAUGCAAAUAGAGGCCGACAAGAAAGAUCAGCCUGUGGGAGCCCAGCACUCUCCUCCAACGUGUGGCUGAAUAGCAGUCAUGAGGAAAGGAUGAAGAUGUGGACAAUACCGGCUAAAGCAGAGUAGCCAGAGCAAGAAGAAAUUUUGCCAGAAGACUGCCUUUGGACUCAAAACUGCAACUCUUUCCUGGGUCUCUAGCCUGCCAGCCUACCCUAAAGAUUUUGGAUUUACUAAGCCGCAACAAUCACCUAAGCCAAUUCCUUAAACUCUCUCUCUCUCCCCCUCUCUCCAUACACAAACAUACACACAUAGUUUGUUCUGUUUCUUUGGAGAACCUGUUACACUAUCUGAUAGGCUAGUCUUCCUUCAUUGAUCCAGAGUUUUCCUUAUUAUUCAUGUUGUUAUUUUUCCAUGUAAAUUCAUAAGGAGCUAGUCUAGUUAAAAUUAAAAACUGAUACUUGUUAUUGGAAGGC